UUUUCUUUAAGAAGACUAACGCUAGGCCCCAAUCUUUUCUAGGUUGCAGGGUUUCUGCUGAUAAGUCAGUUGUUAAUCUAAUUUACUUUAUAGGUAAUUUGGCCCUUUGUUUGAGCCCAUCGUCUGGGAGGUGAGGAACGCCUCUGCCCGGCCACCUUGUCUGGGAAGUGGGGAGCCCCUCUGCCCGGCCGCCCCAUCUGGGAGGUGAGGAGUGCCUCUGCCCGGCCACCCAAUGUCUGGGAGGUGAGGAGCGCCUCUUCCCAGCUGCCCCGUCUGGGAGGUGAGGAGCGCCUCUGCCCGGCCGCCCCAUCUGGGUUGUGAGGAGUGCCUCUGCCCGGCCACUCUGCCCGGCCGCCCCGUCUGGGAAGUGGGGAGUGCCUCUGCCUGGCCACCCCAUCCAGGAUGUGAGGAACGCCCCUGUCCGGCCACCACCCCAUCUGGGAAGUGUGGAGCACCUCUGCUGGGCCGCCCCAUCUGGGAGGUGAGGAGCACCUCUGCCCAGCCGCCCCAUCUGGGAGGUGAGGAGCGCCUCUGCCCGGCCACCCCGUCUGGGAGGUGAGGAGCACCUCUGCCCAGCCGCCCCAUCUGGGAGGUGAGGAGUGCCUCUGCCUGGCCGCCCAUCAUCUUGGAGGUGAGGAGUUCCUCUUGCCGGCCGCCCAGUCUGGCAGUUGAGGAGCGCCUCUGCCCGGCCACCCGCUCUGGGAAGUGAGGAGCGCCUCUGCCUGGCAGCCCCGUCUGGGAAGUGAGGAGCGCCACUGCCUGGCUGCCCCGUCUGGGUUGUGAGGAGCGCCUCUGCCCGACUGCCACCCCAUCUGGGAAGUGGGGAGCACCUCUGCCCAGCUGCCCCGCCUGGGAAGUGAGGAGCACCUUUCUCCGGCUGCCCAUCAUCUGGGAGGUGAGGAGCACCUCUGCAUGGAUGACACACCAUCUGGGAAGUGAGGAGUGCCUCUGCC
rnacentral:lncRNA from 1 species